AAGGGAGCAUCAUAGAGGGUGAUAAUCCNGUCUUUGACACGGAGCCCCCAUGUGCUAUGUGAAACGCUCUCAACGAGUCGAGUUGUUUGGGAAUGCAGCUCUAAAUGGGUGGUAAAUUCCAUCUAAAGCUAAAUAUGGGCGAGAGACCGAUAGCGAACAAGUACCGUGAGGGAAAGAUGAAAAGAACUUUGAAAAGAGAGUUAAACAGUAUGUGAAAUUGCUGAAAGGGAAACGCUGGAUGUCAGUCGCGUUAGCCUAAGGAUCAACCUAGUGAAUAGGUGUAUUUCUUAGUUGACGGGUCAACAUCAGUUUUGAUGACUGUACAAAGGCAAAGGGAAAUGUAGCACUCUUAGGAGUGUGUUAUAGACCCUUGGUUGGAUGCAAGUCAUAAGGACUGAGGAACUCUGCAUAACCUUUUGUUUUUUCAUUAGGUUUGUUGCAAGGGAUGUUGGCAUAAUGGCAUUCAUCGACCCGUCUUGAAACACGGACCAAGGAGUCUAACAUACAUGCAAGUAUUUGGGUGGUAAACUCGAGUGCGAAAUGAAAGUGAAAGAUGGUUGAGACCUCUGUUAUGGAGGGCAUCGACGCCCGGACUAGAGUCUAUGUUAGACAACAGACCUGCGG
rnacentral:rRNA from 1 species